rnacentral:rRNA from 1 species
UUCCAGACUCCUACGGGAGGCAGCAGUGGGGAAUAUUGCACAAUGGGGGAAACCCUGAUGCAGCGACGCCGCGUGAGUGAAGAAGUAUCUCGGUACGUAAAGCUCUAUCAGCAGGGAAGAUAAUGACGGUACCUGACCAAGAAGCCCCGGCUAACUACGUACCAGCAGCCGCGGUAAUACGGAGGAUCCGAGCGUUAUCCGGAUUCACUGGGCGUAAAGGGAGCGCAGGCGGCAUGGCAAGUCUGAUGUGAAAACCCGGGGCCCAACCCCGGGAGUGCAUUGGAAACUGCCAGGCUGGAGUGUCGGAGGGGUAAGCGGAAUUCCUAGUGUAGCGGUGAAAUGCGUAGAUAUUAGGAGGAACACCAGUGGCGAAGGCGGCUUACUGGACUGUAACUGACGUUGAGGCUCGAAAGCGUGGGGAGCAAACAGGAUUAGAUACCCCCGUAU